UGUACUGGAAAGUGCACUUGGAUUAA
rnacentral:rRNA from 1 species